GCAAGUCGAGCGCGCCCUUCGGGGUGAGCGGCGGACGGGUGAGUAACGCGUGGGAACGUGCCCUUUGCUGCGGAAUAGCCACUGGAAACGGUGAGUAAUACCGCAUGAGCCCUUCGGGGGAAAGAUUUAUCGGCAAAGGAUCGGCCCGCGUUGGAUUAGGUAGUUGGUGGGGUAAUGGCCUACCAAGCCGACGAUCCAUAGCUGGUUUUAGAGGAUGAUCAGCCACACUGGGACUGAGACACGGCCCAGACUCCUACGGGAGGCAGCAGUGGGGAAUCUUAGACAAUGGGCGCAAGCCUGAUCUAGCCAUGCCGCGUGAGUGACGAAGGCCCUAGGGUCGUAAAGCUCUUUCGCCUGUGAUGAUAAUGACAGUAGCAGGUAAAGAAACCCCGGCUAACUCCGUGCCAGCAGCCGCGGUAAUACGGAGGGGGUUAGCGUUGUUCGGAAUUACUGGGCGUAAAGCGCGCGUAGGCGGACCAUCAAGUUGGGGGUGAAAUCCCGGGGCUCAACCCCGGAACUGCCUCCAAAACUGGCGGUCUGGAGUUCGAGAGAGGUGAGUGGAAUUCCGAGUGUAGAGGUGAAAUUCGUGGAUAUUCGGAGGAACACCAGUGGCGAAAGGCGGCUCACUGGCUCGAUACUGACGCUGAGGUGCGAAAGUGUGGGGAGCAAACAGGAUUAGAUACCCUGGUAGUCCACACCGUAAACGAUGAAUGCCAGUCGUCGGCAAGCAUGCUUGUCGGUGACACACCUAACGGAUAAGCAUUCGCUGGGGAGUACGGCCGCAGGUACACUCAAUGAUGACGGAA
rnacentral:rRNA from 1 species